ensembl:lncRNA AZGP1P1 AZGP1 pseudogene 1
GCCCAGAACCUUCCAAGCAGACACAAUGGUAAGAAUGGUGUCUGUCCUGCUGUCUCUGCUGCUGCUUCUGGGUCCUGCUGUCCUCCAGGAGACCCGAGAUGGUCAUUACUCUCUGACCUAUCUCUACACUGGGCUGUCCAGGUCUGGCAAAGGCACCCACAGGCUGCAGGGCACUGUCUUCCUCAAUGGCCAUGCCUUCUUCCACUACAACAGUGAAGACAGGAAGGCUGAGCCCCUGGGACCAUGGAGACAUGCGGAAGGAGUAGAGGACUGGGAGAAGCAGAGCCAAGUUCAGAAGGCCAGGGAGGACAUCUUUAUGGAGACCCUGAACAACAUCAUGGAGUAUUACAACGACGGUAACGAUCCUCCCUCUGUGGUGGUCACCAGCCACCAGGCCCCAGGAGAAAAGAAGAAACUGAAGUGCCUGGCCUACGACUUCUACCCAGGGAAAAUUGAUGUGCACUGGACUCGGGCCGGCGAGGUGCAGGAGCCUGAGUUACGGGGAGAUGUUCUUCACGGUGGAAACGGCACUUACCUGACCUGGUUGUUGGUGCAUGUGCCCCCGCAGGACACAGCCCCCUACUCCUGCCACGUGCAGCACAGCAGCCUGGCCCAGCCCCUCGUGGUGCCCGGGGAGGCCAGGUAGGAAGCAAGGGCUGGAGGCAAUGUGGGAUCUCAGCCCCAGUAGCUGCCCUUCCUGCCUGAUGUGGGAGCUGAACCACCGAAAUCACGGUCAAUGGAUCCUCAAGGCCCAAGGAGCAGUGUGGGGGGACAGACAGGAGGUGGAUUUGGAGACCGAAGACUGGGAUGCCUGUCCUGAGCUGACUCGGACCCAAAAACCAUCUCACCUUGAACCACCCCCCGCCAUUGUCUAAUCUGUGGAAACUAAUAAAUAAUCAUCUCUCUUUGUCAAGCACGACAGAGAACAGUAUUAACUGUAAAA